rnacentral:rRNA from 1 species
UUAAAUUGAAGAGUUUGAUCAUGGCUCAGAUUGAACGCUGGCGGCAGGCCUAACACAUGCAAGUCGAGCGGAAACGACACUAACAAUCCUUCGGGUGCGUUAAUGGACGUCGAGCGGCG